GAUUUCAAUUGAAAAGGUCAUCAAUAACAAAGUGGUACAACUCAUCAAGAUCUAUAACUUUUAUUUAGGUCGUUUCUUCAUCCGACAAAGUGGUUUGUAACAUUGUUCACAAAAUAUACAUCUCUUAUAUAGUUUAUAAAGAGAUGUGUAAAUUUUAUGAACAAUGUUACUGUUUCUUUGUCGGACGAAGAAAUGAUCAAAAUAAAAGUUAUAGAUAUUGAUGAGUUAUACAACUUUUUUGUUGAUGAUUUUUUCAGUUGAAAUC
rnacentral:pre_miRNA from 1 species